CCCUUAGAUGUUCUGGGCCGCACACGCGCUACACUGAAGGAGGCAGCGUGUACUCCUGGAUCGAAAGAUUUGGGUAACCCGCGAAUCUCCUUCGUGCUAGGGAUUGAGGCUUGCAAUUAUCCUUCAUGAACGAGGAAUUCCCAGUAAGUGCAAGUCAUAAGCUUGCGCUGACUACGUCCCUGCCCUUUGUACACACCGCCCGUCGCUACUACCGAUUGAAUGAUUUAGUGAGGACUUUGGACUGGGACCGAUGCGGCUUUCGGGCUGCGUCGGUAUUCUGGAAAGAUGUCCAAACUGUAUCAUUUAGAGGAAGUAAAAGUCGUAACA
rnacentral:rRNA from 1 species